rnacentral:rRNA from 1 species
CGGGUGAGUAACACGUGGAUAACCUACCUAUAAGACUGGGAUAACUUCGGGAAACCGGAGCUAAUACCGGAUAAUAUAUUGAACCGCAUGGUUCAAUAGUGAAAGACGGUUUUGCUGUCACUUAUAGAUGGAUCCGCGCCGCAUUAGCUAGUUGGUAAGGUAACGGCUUACCAAGGCAACGAUGCGUAGCCGACCUGAGAGGGUGAUCGGCCACACUGGAACUGAGACACGGUCCAGACUCCUACGGGAGGCAGCAGCA